rnacentral:rRNA from 1 species
UACAACUUUCAACAACGGAUCUCUUGGUUCUGGCAUCGAUGAAGAACGCAGCGAAAUGCGAUAAGUAGUGUGAAUUGCAGAAUUCAGUGAAUCAUCGAAUCUUUGAACGCACAUUGCGCCCCUUGGUAUUCCAUGGGGCAUGCCUGUUCGAGCGUCAU